rnacentral:rRNA from 1 species
CGAAGGUGGCAAGCGUUACUCGGAAUUACUAGGCGUAAAGGGCAGGUAGGUGGUCUGGUUAGUCUGUUGUGAAAGCUCCUUGCUUAACGGGGAGAGGCCAACAGAUACUGCCAGGCUUGAGUAUAGGAGAGGGUACUGGAAUUCCCGGUGUAGCGGUGAAAUGCGCAGAGAUCGGGAGGAACACCAAUGGCGAAAGCAGGUACCUGGACUAUUACUGACACUCAGCUGCGAAAGCUAGGGGAGCAAACAGGAUUAGAUACCCUGGUAGUCCUAGCCGUAAACGAUGCACAUUAGGCGUGAGGGGUAUCGACCCCCUUCGUGCCGAAGCAAACGCAUUAAAUGUGCCGCCUGGGGAGUACGGCCGCAAGGUUG